AACGUAGGAGACAAACGUUAUCCGGAGUUACUGGGCGUAAAGGGCGUGUAGGCGGUUAGUUAAGUCUGGCGUGAAAGCUCUCGGCUAAACCGGGAGGGGUCGUUGGAUACUGGCAAACUAGAGGACGGUAGAGGCGUGUGGAAUUCCGGGUGUAGUGGUGAAAUGCGUAGAGAUCCGGAGGAACACCAGUGGCGAAGGCGACACGCUGGGCCGUACCUGACGCUAAAGCGCGACAGCAUGGGGAGCAAACGGG
rnacentral:rRNA from 1 species